UCUCUCUCAAAAAUAAGUAAACAUAAAAAUUAACUGUGAUGAACAUUUAUUGGUAUUUUUUCAUAAAUUUAGUGUUUAGUGUCCCACCAGUUUGCCUGGCUGUAGCUUAUCUUUCCAGUCUUAGAGAUUUUACCUUCUCUGGGAAGACUUCCACAUCUAUCCUCACAUUUUCUAGUCCCUACCAUCAAUUGGAUUGAAGCCCUCAUGGGAGGUGGUGACACAUUUCCAACAGUCUGUCAGAGCUUCUCACUUCUGUGAAAUAGUCAACAUCUCUUUAAUCUAUUUGCUUGAGUUCAAUGCCAAGAAGAGAAGCUGUAAGAGGGACAAGAAGGAAAGAGUUGGAUUCUGUUUAUCUUACUAAUUUUGUCGCAUUGCUGAUUUAUCAUCGGUGUGCAAAAGAACCUUAAGUGAUUCAUGGGAUGUCCUUGGUCGGCUGUAAAGACUUAGAAUCUCCCUCCGUCUUCAUCUGGAGUUAUGUCACUGUUAAUAAACAGCAGCUUCCAAAAUUAGAAUUUUAGUUCAGCAGCUUCAAAGCACUUGUGGAAUGAUUUAAAUACGAAAAUAUCAAUAAAAGAAAGAAUUUCUGA